CUACGGGCCGCAGCAGUAGGGAAUAUUGCGCAAUGGGCGAAAGCCUGACGCAGCGACGCCGCGUGAGUGAUGAAGGUCCUCUGGAUUGUAAAGCUCUGUAAGGAGGGAAGAACCGCCUGGUGUAACGGCCAGGUCUGACGGUACCUCCAAAGUAAGCACCGGCUAAAUAAGUGCCAGCAGCCGCGGUAAUACUUAUGGUGCGAGCGUUGUCCGGAAUGACUGGGCGUAAAGGGUGCGUAGGCGGACUUUCAAGUCAGGUGUGAAAUCCCCGGGCUUAACCUGGGAACUGCGCUUGAAACUGGAAGUCUAGAGUAUGUGAGGGGUUAGCGGAAUUCCCGGAGUAGCGGUGAAAUGCGUAGAGAUCGGGAAGAACACCGGUGGCGAAGGCGGCUAACUGGCACAUGACUGACGCUGAGGCACGAAAGCGUGGGGAGCGAACGGGAUUAGAUACCCGGGUAGUC
rnacentral:rRNA from 1 species